rnacentral:tRNA from 1 species
UCCGUAAUGGUGUAAUGGUUAGCAUUUCUGCCUCUCAUUCCGUUUCAACAUCCCUCACGGGCGAGAGAUUGGAAAGGGUGCUAGUCUUAUGGACUGGCCCCGGGUUCGCAGGAGAUCAGGGUUCAAUUCCCUGUUACGGAA